UGUGAAGGACUUGUACGUACAAAAUAUUUAUAGCAGCAUUUUUUGUUGUAGCAAAGACCUGGAGAUAAAGAAAUGGUUAUUAAUCGGCAAAUGGCUGAACACAUGAAUGUAAUGGGAUAUUAUGUAAGAAAUUAUGAAAGGGCUGGGCACAGUGGUACAUUCCUGUAAUUCCUGCUGCGAGAGAGGCUGAAGCAAGGGGAUCUUGGGCUGAGGAGUUCUGAGGAGCACAGGGCUAAAGCUGAUUGUUGUCCACACAAAGUCUGGUAUGAACGUGUGGCCCCAGGAGUGGUAUGAGGGGAAGGAGUGGGAGACACUGAGCUGCCUAUGGAGGAGUAAACUGGCCCAGUCUCCUGCAGUACAGCGGAAAAGGGCAUGAGAUUCAUCUGUGAAGCUGGGAAAAGAAGAAGCAGCUACGUCACAGGAUAGGUCUACCCCUACAGCCCAACUCCAGGACUCCUUCCACUGCUGUGACAAGAGAUUUUUGUUAUUUGUCCUUCGUUCUCAAAGAGGACCAUGACAUCAGUCAUGAAAAAUGGAAGCUCUGUGCCACUGACCGUGGAGGCCUACCUGGGAGUCACAUGUGUUAACACCAGUUUUAGAAGAUACAUGGAAAAAGAUGCGUGGUUGACUAAAUAGCCCCUUCCUUCUUAAGUGUGCAAAAUUUUGGGCCUACCAACACUUGUGAGCAAACAGCCACCCCAGCAAAUAUGUGCACCUGCUCUUGCCUAAUUGCAGGCUCCCUUAUUCACUCCCAGGCACAAUUAGCCACCUGCCGGGCCGGGGGAACAAGCUAGUGGAUGACGGUGCAUGCAAUUAGCAAAUUGCGGGCCCUACCAUUUCCUAUAUAAAAUGCAAUGUAAAGAAGGUUCUCUUUCAAGCUUUUUGCUGCAUAUCCCCUGAGUGGGGAAUCUACAGGACAGUUAAAAAACAAAUGUUUCCUAAAGCAAAAACUCAAUUUCUGUGGGGAUCUCAAAGCCCAGCUUCUGGAUGCCUGCAAUGGGACAUCUGCACCUUCGGGUAAUGCAUUCUUUGAAUAUAUACAAAGGUCUGAAGUUAUAAGCAACAUAUCACCAAUCUGGUUAAAAAGUAUCCCAGGAUUAACCUGGAUAAUCUCACAACCUGUUAUAAUGCCAAUUCUGUAAGUAUUAAUUGGGUACAACAACGCAUAUGCAACCUAAGGGCCCAAUGGGUCUCUUAUAAUAAUGUCUAAAAUUUUGUUGACUGGCCCUGGGCAAAUGGAUUUCUUUCUCCAAGCCUCAGCUUCCUCAUCUGCUAAAAUGAAGCAGGUGAACUAAUCCUCUUUCAUCUCCAACACUUCCAGGAUUCCAUCAACAGGCACACAAGUGACAUGGGUGAAAUAGUCAAGAGGAAGUUCAUAUUGUAAAAAAGGCUUCUCCUUGGCCUUCUGCCCAUGCAAUGGGCUCUCCAUCUCUGGUCCCAUGCACUUGUACCUUCUACAAAGGGUUCUGAACCUUUUUUUUUUUG